UACGGAGGGGGCUAGCGUUGUUCGGAAUUACUGGGCGUAAAGCGCACGUAGGCGGCUUUGUAAGUUAGAGGUGAAAGCCCGGGGCUCAACUCCGGAAUUGCCUUUAAGACUGCAUCGCUAGAAUUGUGGAGAGGUAAGUGGAAUUCCGAGUGUAGAGGUGAAAUUCGUAGAUAUUCGGAAGAACACCAGUGGCGAAGGCGACUUGAC
rnacentral:rRNA from 1 species